AAGCAGCAGCUUCUCCACUCCUUCUGGAAUCUCCCCCUGGUUCAGCCCGCCUGCCUCCACUCCUGCCUCCACCAUGUCCAUCAGGGUGACCCAGAAGUCCUACAAAGUGUUCACCUCUGGCCCCCAGGCCUUCAGUAGCCGCUCCUACAUGAGUGGGCCCAGUGCCCACAUCAGCUCCUUGAGCUCUUCUUCCAAGUGGGCAGCAGCAGCUUCCUGGGAUGCCCUGGGCAGAGGCUAUGGUAGGGCCAGUGGCAUAGGAGGCAUCUCGGAUGUCACGGUCAACCAGAGCCUGCUGAGCCCCCUUAACCUGGAGGUGGACCCCAACAAAGAGGCCGUGCGCACCCAGGAGAAGGAACAGAUCAAGACCCUCAACAAGAAGUUUGCCUCCUUCAUAGACAAGGUGCAGUUCCUGGAGCAGCAGAACAAGAUGCUGGAGACAAGUGGAGUCUCCUGCAGCUGCAUAAGAUGGCUGACAGCAACAUGGACAACACGUUCCACGGCUACCUCAACAACCUUAGGUGGCAGCUGGAAACUCCGGGCCAGGAGAAGCUGAAGCUGGAGGUGGAGCUUGGUUACAUGCAGGGGCUAGUGGAGGAUUUCAAGUAUGAGGAUGAGAUCAAUAAGCCUACAGAGAUGGAGAAUGAAUUUGUCCUCAUCAAGAAGGAUGUGGAUGAAGCUGACAUGAACAAGGCAGAGCUGGAGUCUCGCCUGGAAGGGCUGACUGAUGAGAUCCACUUCCUCAGGCAGCUGUAUGAAGAGGAGAUCCGGGAGCUGCAGUCCCCGAUCUCAGACACGUCUGUGGUGCUGUCCAUGGACAACAGCUGCUCCCUGGACACAGACAGCAUCAUCGCUGAGGUCAAGGCACAGUAUGAGGAGAUCGCCAACCGAAGCCGGGCUGAGGCUGAGAGCAUGUACCAGAUCAAGUAUGAGGAGCUGCAGAUGCAGGCUGGGAAGCACAGGGAUGACCUGCAGCGUACAAAGACCGAGAUCUCCGAGAUGAACUGGAACAUCAGCCGGCUCCAGGCUUAGAUUGAGGGCCUCAAAGGCCAGAGGGCUUCCCUGGGGGCUGGCAUCACAGAUGCCAAGCAGUGCGGGGAGCUGGCCGUUAAGGAUGCCAAUGCCAAGCUGUCCAAGCUGGAAGCUGCCCUGCAGUGGGCCAAGCAGGACAUGGCGUGGCAGCUGCGUGAGUACCAGGAGCUACUGAAUGUCAAGCCAGCCCUGGAUAUUGAGAUUGUCACCUACAGGAAGCUGCUGGAAGGUGAGGAGAGCCGGCUGGAGUUUGGGAUGAAGAACCUGAGUAUCCGUAUGAAGACUAACAGCGGCUAUGCAGGUGGUCUCAGCUCAGCCUAUGGGGGGCUCACAAGCACAGGCCUCAGCUACAACCUAGACUCCAGCUUUGGCUCUGGCGCAGGCUCCAGCUCCUUCAGCGGCACUAGCUCCACCAGGGCCGUGGUUGUGAAGAUCAAUCAGAUCCUCAAUUGGAGGCUGGUGUCUGAGUCCUCUGAUGUCCUGCCCAAGUGAACAGCUGCGACAGUCCCUCCCAGCCUGCCCCUCCUGCGGCUGCCCCAGGGCUCAGGAGGGAGGCCACUGUGCAGGGGAGCCGAGGGAACAGAGACCCACCUGAGGCUUAGCCCUAGCCCUCAGCCCACCCUCGGAGGAGUUUACUGCCUGGGGACCCCCCUUGCCUAUGUCUCCAGCUGCAAAACAA